GAUGAACGCUGGCGGCGUGCCUAAUACAUGCAAGUCGAGCGAACAGACGCGGAGCUUGCUCCUCUGACGUUAGCGGCGGACGGGUGAGUAACACGUGUAUCCCCUCCCUAUCAUACUGGGAACACUUCGGGACACCGGAGCUUAUACCGGAUAAUAUCUUGAACCGUGUGGUUCAAUAGUGAGAGACGGUUUUGCUGUCACUUAUCGAUGGAUACGGGCCGCUUUAGCUAGUUGGUGAGGUAAAGGCUUACCAAGGCAACGAUGCGUAGCCGACCUGAGAGAGUGAUCGGCCACACUGGAACUGAGACACGGUCCAGACUCCUACGGGAGGCAGCAGUAGGGAAUCUUACGCAAUGGGCGAAAGCCUGACGGAGCAACGCCGCGUGAGUGAUGAAGGUCUUCGGAUCGUAAAACUCUGUUAUUAGGGAAGAACAAAUGUGUAAGUAACUAUGCACGUCUUGACGGUACCUAAUCAGAAAGCCACGGCUAACUACGUG
rnacentral:rRNA from 1 species